GGGGUGGGGGCAAGUGAAGGGGAAAGAGAACCCAGAGCUUCCAGUUGUCUUCAUGGUCCGGCAGUAGCUGCACUCUGAUGCCCACUGGUUUCUAGAUGCAGCUGUUUCUGCUGGUCAAGCUCCUUAGUUUCCCCUGGCAUCAUCGAGGCCCCAGCUCAGGCACUUGACCCAGGCUCUCAGCGGAUGCCCAGGUCCUGCAGAUGAAAAGCAUCAUCUCACAUCCCUGAGCUUCUAGAGAAGACACUAGACCAGAACUGUAUUCUGUCUGCAGAAAUGCCACCUGUCUCAGGAGGACCUGUGUGGGCACCAGGAGGCAAUUCCGCUAGCCUGAUCUCAAACCCUGGGACUCCAAAGGCCAGGCAUCGGCUGUCUGAUUUCUAUCCACACUCAAGUUGUGGCUCCCAGACUAGCUGUGGAAAAUGCAAGUCUCCCGUCUCCUCACACAUUGCCCACUUGACUGCACUUGCUGUUGCUAUGCUGCUGUGCUGCAAGGCAUUUAAAAGCAAUAUUCUGAGAAGGAGUCCAGGAACUUCACCUGACGUCCAGUGGAUUCCCAACCUCAACUCUUUCCUAGGAUCUGACUUUCAACCAGGAAUCAGAUCAGGCCUUUACUUUUAAGAGCUGAGCCCUGGUGGGUGACUCAGAAUAAACACAUGCAUAAA